AGUGAACGCUGGCGGUAGGCCUAACACAUGCAAGUCGAACGGCAGCACAGUAAGAGCUGGCUCUUACGGGUGGCGAGUGGCGGACGGGUGAGGAAUACAUCGGAAUCUACUUUUUCGGGGGGGAUAACGUAGGGAAACUUACGCUAAUACCGCAUACGACCUACGGGUGAGAGCAGGGGAUCUUCGGACCUUGCGCGAUUGAAUGAGCCGAUGUCGGAUUAGCUAGUUGGCGGGGUAAGGGCCCACCAAGGCGACGAUCCGUAGCUGGUCUGAGAGGAUGAUCAGCCACACUGGAACUGAGACACGGUCCAGACUCCUACGGGAGGCAGCAGUGGGGAAUAUUGGACAAUGGGCGCAAGCCUGAUCCAGCCAUACCGCGUGGGUGAAGAAGGCCUUCGGGUUGUAAAGCCCUUUUGUUGGGAAAGAAAAGCAGCAGGUUAAUACCCUGCUGUUCUGACGGUACCCAAAGAAUAAGCACCGGCUAACUUCGUG
rnacentral:rRNA from 1 species